rnacentral:rRNA from 1 species
UACGUAGGUGGCAAGCGUUGUCCGGAUUUAUUGGGCGUAAAGCGAGUGCAGGCUGUUCAAUAAGUCUGAUGCGAAAGCCUUCGGCUCAACCGGAGAAUUGCAUCAGAAACUGUUGAACUUGAGUGCAGAAGAGGAGAGUGGAACUCCAUGUGUAGCGGUGGAAUGCGUAGAUAUAUGGAAGAACACCAGUGGCGAAGGCGGCUCUCUGGUCUGCAACUGACGCUGAGGCUCGAAAGCAUGGGUAGCGAACAGG